rfam:Swine hepatitis E virus genomic RNA, complete genome, isolate: swJ13-1.
GAAACAGUCAAACCUGUCCUUGAUCUUACUAGCUCUAUUAUAUACCGGGUGGAAUGAAUAACAUGUUCUUUUGCUCUGUGCAUGGAGAUGCCACCAUGCGCUCUCGGGCUCUUCUGUUUUUGCUCUUCGUGCUUCUGCCUAUGCUGCCCGC